rnacentral:sRNA from 1 species
AACUGCGGUCCGGAGUGAAUGGGUUAUCAUUGAAGAGGAAGCCCCCAUUCACACCAACUUGACCGCUGU